rnacentral:rRNA from 1 species
GACGAACGCUGGCGGCGUGCCUAAUACAUGCAAGUCGAACGCAGUGGGGACGGGUGAUUAACACGUGGGUAACCUCCCAUCAGAGGGGAUAAAACUUGGAAACAGGUGCUAAACCGAUACUGAUGGAUGGACCCGCGGUGCAGUAGCUAGUUGGUGAGGGAACGGCUCACCAAGGCCACGAUGCAUAGCCGACCUGAGAGGGUGAUCGGCCACACUGGGACUGAGACACGGCCCAGACUCCGACGGGAGGCAGCAGUGGGGAAUCUUCGGCAAUGGACGAAAGUCUGACCGAGCAACGCCGCGUGAAUGAAGAAGGUUUUCGGAUCGUAAAGUUCUGUUGUUAGAGAAGCGGUAUCUAACCAGAAAGCCACGGCUAACUACGUGCCAGCAGCCGCGGUAAUUC